rnacentral:rRNA from 1 species
UGAGCUUGAUCCUGGCUCAGGAUGAACGCUAGCGGCAGGCUUAACACAUGCAAGUCGAGGGGUAUUUAUCUUCGGAUAGAGAGACCGGCGCACGGGUGCGUAACGCGUAUGCAAUCUACCUUUUACAGAGGGAUAGCCCAGAGAAAUUUGGAUUAAUACCUCAUAGUAUUAUGAAAUGGCAUCAUUUUAUAAUUAAAGUCACAACGGUAAAAGAUGAGCAUGCGUCCCAUUAGCUAGUUGGUAAGGUAACGGCUUACCAAGGCUACGAUGGGUAGGGGUCCUGAGAGGGAGAUCCCCCACACUGGUACUGAGACACGGACCAGACUCCUACGGGAGGCAGCAGUGAGGAAUAUUGGACAAUGGGCGCAAGCCUGAUCCAGCCAUGCCGCGUGCAGGAUGACGGUCCUAUGGAUUGUAAACUGCUUUUAUACGAGAAGAAACAACAUUACGUGUAAUGUCUGACGG